UAACAUGAUUGAAGUCAGCAGGCAACAGAGAGGUUAUUGGAGAUUGCAAAGAACUGGAGACAGCACGCCUCUUCUGCUCCUUCCACCAUAGAAGGGCCCAGUGUUCCUUGCCUCUGGAUGACAGAACAAAGUGCCAUCUUGGAAGCAAAGAGCAACCCUUGCCAAACAACAAUCCUGUUGGGGCUUUGAUCAUGGACAUCCCAGCCUCCAGAACUAUUUAAAAAUUACUUUAUUCCGUGGGAUCUCUGAUCACUGAUAAAGCUGGACUGUUUACUAAAUGGUGCUGGAUCUCUGGGUGGCCACUUGGAAGGAGAUUAAAUUGGACCCAUACCACCUCAUAGCAUACACAACAACAAAUCCCAACAGGGUUAGGAAUUUAAAUGUGAAAAAGAAAAGCAGAUAAGCAUGGGAAGAAAACAUGGUGACACCUUUCCACAAAAAGCAUUUCUUCCCUUCCUGAGUUGGCUGAAUAAUGAAGACGGGUAUUCUUAUCACUGUUUGAAGCCAAGAUUCUCAAGGUAAUUUUACUUCAAGGAUUGAAGAAACAGGAAUUCCACUCUCUUUCUAAUUUCUGGGACAAAGGGUAUCCUCCAGCCCCAGAGGUGGUAGAGAACAGAUGCCAAGGACCCUCACCAGUGGACCCAGACAGUGAUACAGGAUCCUGCCUUCAUACUAUAACGACUAGAGAGAGUUCUUCCCUUUCCUUCUAAAAUAGCCAAUUCCUACAGACUGAUAAGAAGAUCUGGCAGAAAUCUGGGAGCAAGAGUGCAGCUCCUUGGCACAGCAGCCAUGGGAAAUGGAGAGAAAGAAAAUCACUUUAUAGAUAGGAGAGAAAUAAGGAGGAUUUGCUUAAACCCAUCUGCAUCUUCCAUUGAGACUGUUGGAAAGAAGUAAACAGCAGCUAUAAAUAAUUUCUACCCCAAAUACGUUGGGGUCUUCUCAGAGGUCUUCACCUUUCAGCAUCUUCUGGACUUGACAUAUUUGGUGAGGAGAUAUGUGUAAAGGGGACAGAAUGAACAUUAAGUGUCUUUGUGGGCAGCUCAUGUGGACACUGAAAAAUAGUUUUUGGGAUUUGCUCCUGUGUCUUUUUUAUUUGUAGAACAAUAUACCUAGUAAUACCAGAAAUGUGUCAUGGUGACUGCUGGAGGGAUUAUCUCACAAGUGGCCCCCCUCUUCACUGUGACCAUCAGACUCAUAAAGAACAACACAAGCCCGAAGACUGCUCUGUGGUUGAUACCUAUGGUCCUGGGGCAGAGCUUGAGUUUAGGUCUGCAGGGAAGAGAAGAGUCAGUAGCAGGUCAGGUUCUUGUCCCUUGGGCUCCCUUUGAAUCAAUUGCAACUUUUUCUGUGAUUGUGCCCUGGUGAUGCUUGAAGUCACAGAUUUAUUUUCUUCAUUAUUCAGAGUGACAAUCAACUGUAUUUAAGACAUAGUACCUAAACCACGAAUAUAUAAGGAAUGAUUUCCUUUUCUACAACUAGCAGUACUGUCCAUUAUAGGGCUGUCAGUCAAAGAUAAAUUAGGCACUAUGACUUGUUUUUGUCAUAGAAAAGUAGGCCUAUAAUUACAGACCUGCCCAGAGGAAAGGAACUUUAAUAGUUACCAUUCUUCCUUUUAAAGAGCAUGUUCCUUCAUCCUGGUCAGAUUCAGCCUCUGUGUGAAUAUGUUCUAUAAUGGGAACAUACAACCUCACUAGGAGACCUGGGGUCAGCACACUUUUUGUAAAAGUUCAGUCAGCAAAUAUCCUAGGCUGUGCAGACCCCCGGGGUUUGGGUUGCAACUACUCAAAUCUAUCCCUGUGUAUGUAAGCAGCUAUGGAUAAUAUGUAAAUAAAUGACUGUGACUUUACAAGAAAGCUUGAUUUACCAAACAAGCAGUGGGAUGGAUUUGGCCCAUCUGUAUAGUUUGCCUAUUCCUGGGAUACCACUUGCUUGUGGGGCAGCCCUGAUGGUGUGAAGUUCUACCUUGAGCCAAAAUCUGCCUCCCUUUAAAUUACUUACCACCUUUCACAUCCUUUAUCAUGCUUAAAAAUAUUUGAUUGAUUAGCUACAACUGCCUCCUGUAUCUAAAUUAUUUACAACACAUAAAUUCUCUAAUGGGUACCAUUUUGUUCUAAAACCAAUAUGAUUAAUUGAUUGUUUCAUUCACUUGCCUACUUAUCCAUCAUUUAUUAAGUACUUGAGUAGGGGCUGGGGCUGGGGAAAUAAAUGCCCUCUCAGAGUUGACAAGUCUGGUGGGAGAUGAUCACAAAUGAAAGUGAAAGCUAUGGUAGUGAUAGAGGGGUCUGUGGGAGGAUAAGGGGUAACACCCAUCCAGUGGCAGGGCACAGAGAGCACGGAGGAUACGGAGACUCCUUCAAGGAGGUUGCACUUGAACUGAGUUUUAUGGACUGGUUCUGGUAGAAACUAGCAUUGAAUUCUGAAAAUCAUAUGUGAAAAGUUGUGCAACCUUUUGUGUCGUCAGAGUCUGCAGUUCUGUAAUUCAGGAACCCCAAGUAAUUCAACACUUAACACACAAAUAAUGCUUCUAAUUUAUAUCUUCAUAUUCCUCUCCCCACACAACAGUGCACCUGAGUCUGAGCGUUGGAUGGACAAGAGGGAUGUAAAGGUGAGGGGUGAGCAGGAGAUGUAGGCAAGGCAGAUCUGGAGAAACCUUGGGUGCCAUUUUAAAGCCAAAGAGAAUUAACCAAAGUAAGCGUCAUUCUGUGCUACUGUAGCCUGAAGUAUUUUAGCAAAGCAUUCUCUGAGUUGAUUUAAAGGUUCUGUUUUAUAAGCAAGACAUCAU